rnacentral:lncRNA from 1 species
AGACCAUUCGAAAAAUAAAAAGGAAACAAAUAUUUGUUGACAAAGAUACAAAUUAGAUUCAAGUCUGUGUCAUUACAUGCUAAGUUUGUUAAUUGUUCCCUAAUUUUGAUUACUAGUCAGAUAAACAUCUAACAAGCGAUAAAAAAAAAAAAAGAAACCCGGUUUGAAUUUCUUAAAUCAUAGCGUACCGAUGGGUAUAACUUAAAUGAUCAAUCCAUAACCCAACACCCGGUCUGAUUCGG